AUUUGAGUCACAUUCGAUGAGCAUGGCUCCGAAAAGUAAGGCCGCUAUGAAUCAUCGAUGAUGUACAUGGCAGUCAAUGUGUUAAAGUGCAUGUAAAAACUCAAUUACUAAAAUAAAAUAAUUUUUUAGCUAAUCGUGCAUAGUUUAAUAUCUGUACAGCUUAAAAAGAACUGUGUAAACUGUUUCAUUUGACUUAUGAAUAAUUUAAUGGGCAGUUUUUUUAUUACGCACAUCGGUGCUACAUAAACUGCCAUAAAAAAUCAGCUAGAAUAAGCUAAUGUUUGGUCUUCAUGACAGCUGGACGUGCUAGUCAUGAGAACAGGCAAAGGCCAAAUGCGAUAAUUCUUUAUAUCAUGACCUGCAUUCUCAAAUAUAAUUUUUUAAAACUGUUUUCGAUAAUUCGAAUAAUGUUAUAUACCAAGUUCGCAAUGCCAAAAAUGAAAAAAGUGGCAAGCAUAUUAAAAAAAUGUAUUUAAAUUAUAGCGAUUUAAAAAUCUGGUUAACUGAUAAAUGUACGAAUUAUUUAAAAUUUAUAAAAAGUAUUGUCAGUCUGUUAUUGAACAGUUACAUUAUUUAUUAUAUUUGUGAGACGAAAAUGCAUAGUUUCUAGAGAUUCUUAGAUUCAAUAACGGUAACUGUUAAAAGUUAGCUUUAAAAAAAAAAUGUGGAUAUUGUCUUUAAAUAUGAUUAAAAAAAUGGCAUAACAUUUGCAUCAUAUUCAAAUAUCCCACGAAAUAAUUUUAAAAAAGUUUCCCUUUAUUUAAUUAACAGGGCAUAACAUGAAAUCAUUCACAAAUAUUCAAACGUGAUGAAAUCGUUCAUCACCUUAUUUGUGACGGAAUAAAACAAAAUGCAGUAAACUCUCUAGUUGCGUCCAUCUCUGAAAAGAACAAAAUAUUUCUAAGACUAAUAUCGGUACUGAAAAUCACUUUCGCACAAGAUCGAAAUCAUAUGGAACCUUGAGAAGUAGAGAGGAUCACCUCAAAAACAGUAUUGUCAGUGUAUGGUGUCUAAAACACAGGACUAGUCACCUGGUGAAGUACAGGUGACAUAAUUUUUAGAAUUCAGGAAGUUACUUGAUGGCAAAAUCUUGAAGAUAUAUAGAUUACAUUGGGAAGCCAGUCAGAACGUUCUCUUCCUUUUUUAAACCUCUUGCUACUGAACAAGGACCAAAAUUCUUAUGCAUAUAUGACAUGUUCUUGUAUUGCCUUCUUUAUAGAUCUUAAUAAAUUUUAAAACAAA
rnacentral:lncRNA from 1 species